rnacentral:lncRNA from 1 species
AGAAGAGAACUCUUCCUCGAAACCAUCACCCUUGAGGUCUGGCUUCUCUUCGUUUGGCUCGUACGGAAGAUCAAACGGGUUUCUCCUCGCGAACAUAAUGGACGGAGCAGAGCCAGGGAUAGGUGGUAGUCCCAUACCAUCAUAUGAAAGAUCAAAUGGAUUAUGCCUUGCGGUUGAGAUUGGCGGCAUAUUAAAUGGAACAUCAGCACAGUCGAAAUCAAUGAGAUUUCUCUCUGCCACCAUUCUCAUAUUGUUACGAGCCCUUCUCCUGGCGAUAAGACUCUCCAACCGUUGGUUUCUUUCGAGCUCGAGACUUCCUAGAUCCAUGACGUUCUUUUGGUCAGCCUCUGUCCAUUUGAUAGGUGAUUUAAUUUCAUCUUCCUUCUUCUCCUCUUCCUCUUCCUCUUCUUCCUUCUUGUUGUCGUCCUCUUCACCAUGACUUUCGCUGUUAACAUCAGACUCCGUUCCUUCAUCGCUAUCACUACUACUCAUAUCUGGCUCCUCUGAAGUUGCAUUUGAUCCAUCAAGAUCUGCAAUACCAAGACCUGGAUUCUCUGAGUGUAAAAGCGGGUGAAGCUCAUCAAGCAUGGGGAUGAUGUCUGUCAUAGAAGGGUCAGGUGAAGAACUUUCCGCACCAUCAGAACUAGAAUCCAGUGAGUCAUCAUCGCCCUCCUCAUGCCUCAUUGGUCUCCAAGGUGAAACUGGAGAUACAUCCACCUGAUCUUCCUUUGAAUCCUCCAUCAUAUCAUCUAAAGAUCCACCAUGUGAAACUCGCUUCCCGUCAUCAUUUCCAAUCAACUUCUCCUCUUCUCCAUCUCCCUUCUUCUCCAAAUCCAAAUCAAAUGCUCUCUCCUCAAACCUUACCUGGGUAUCUCGUUCCACUAAUCUAUCAUCAUCAUCUUUCUCCGUGCUCACGCACCUCUCAACCGUAAAACUCUCACCCUCUCUCUCAACAACACUAGGAUCCCUCGUAACCUCAGCUGUGAAAAGAGCAGCCUCGUUAACAGUAGCCUCCGGUUCUGUUUCGAUCUCAGGUAUAAUAUUUGGCUCUCCGAAACUAAGAAUCGUUCCAAGCAAAACGAAUGUGCAAACCAAAACAGGAGAUGCAGCUACCAAAGGAGAAAACAAAAGAGGACAAGCUCUAUACAGAAGAUACACAACCCCAACAAAGCCGAGGAGAUAGGGAUGACUGCAGAUCCAUCUAUAGGAAGUUCUGAUCAUGAUGACGAAUAACCUCCGUAUAUGAACUCUGAACUCAGACCGAUCACUGAUCAUACUGUUUCCUUCUUCUUGUCCAGGUUGUUUUCUGUAUAAAGAAGUAAGAGCAACAAUCACGAAUCAGAUGGUGCAAGAUAACAUUACUAGAAUAAAUCUGAAACGAAGUUGACAUUUAUUAGAUAUGCAACUUUCAACCAUAAAUAAUAAUAAUCGGAUCUAACGCACACGAGUAGAGAGAGAAAGGUAAAUCAUUUCAAUCAGAUGGAGAAUUAGAUCGAGUAUUCUGAUGAACUCACUCACCAGUCUCACCAGGUACGAGCAAACAGAUCGUGGAGAAAACAGUUUGACUAAACUAUACAGUGAAGAUGAAGAAGAAGAAAGAAUAGGACGAGUGGGCUAAUAUGAUUGUUUGUUGUUUCGCUUUCUUUACAGCAAAACAAAUGUAAUUCUUCGUUGGCCUCUAUUUGUAUCUCCUGAUAUUACGGUGGUGGCGGUGGCUACUACUUUCGGCACAAUUAUUAUUAUUGUUUUUUUUUCCGAGCAGGUUUCUUCUUCUUUUUACUUGACCAAAAAGACGAUUUAUUUCAAAAUUAGUAAAUAUUUCUUUACGUAGAUAUGUAUAAACAACAUUAACCUUUUUUUGGAAACAUAAAACAGCAUUAACCUAAACUACAAACAUCCAUCUAUAGUACUAUUAUUAAUAUAACUCAAAGUGCUGCAGAAAUUACUUAAUAUUGCUAUGUUUACUUAAUAACUCAAAAUGCCACAAUGUUUAAUAUGGAAAUAUUUUGAUCUACACGUCCGUGAAAGUAUUUUUUAUAGAUAAAGUUAGGAUCAGUUAUUCUUCUAAUAUGUUUUCAUAUUAUGUUGGUUACACAUAUUGUUAUUUUAUGAUAGAUUUAUUUUGCUGAAUAUAAAAUCUACUUAUUAAAAAACUCGGAAGAUUAAAAACAAUAACAUACUCCCUCCGUUUUAUAAUUUUGGCUAAAAGCACAAAAAAUUAAGAAAAUUAUUAUGUUUUAAAAAGUAUUGUAUAAUAAAUAGGUUAGAUAUAAAUUAAUCCAUCAAAAAUAAGUCUAUUAAUAUGAUUGGUCAUACUAUAUUUAAUAAAUGUAAAAAUUACUUAGAAAUAUGAAAACUGGUUUGUUACAGAUUUUCAUUCCAUUUUUAACUAAUUUUAACCACUUCUUUUAUUAUCUUUCUAAUUAAUUCGACAACAUUUAUUACAAAUUAUAAAACACAACUUACCUAUUUAAAAUUUUUUAUUACAUCUUCCUUUUUUUCAUUUUUCCUAACUACUUCGUUAGUUAUAUUUAUAAUAAUAAUUAAAAAUCACUUAUUUUACAUGUUAACCAUAAUAAUUUCAUAGAUUUGAAUGAAAUUGUUUCAUUCGUAACAAAAAUUCAAACUGAUUAACAAAUUAUUUUUUUAUUUGUUUACAAAAUCAGUUAGACAUAGUCAUCCAAAUACCCAUUCGAAUAUGAAUCAUGUUUUGAAACCACGUUUUUCGAGUUUUAAAAUUAAACUUCAUUCGCAUAUUACAAAUUUUUGGACAGGGUUCAAGUUGGAUUUUUCCAGAUCCGGAUAUGUUCGUAAAAACUUAAAAAUUAAACUCUGUGCAGACGCACAGAUCAAGUUAUAGUUUACAUUAUAAACAUAGAAUAUUUAGCAGUAGAAUUGGUUCCAACCAUGCUUUGUCCCCACUAUACAACGGUUAAUUUCCCCUCUUGCCCACUUAUACUUCCCUUUUUAUUUAUUUUUAUCAUUCCCCUCCCCCCCCUACAGUUGAAUUAUUUUGACCAUCAAUUCCAACAUCCGAAAUGAGAAGGCUUGUCUCCCCUGUAACAUGAGUGCUACUCUCUCCUACUUCCCUUGUACUUGUUUCAGUCUCACCAGGACCUAUGCUUUCAGAACAUACUUCACGUUCGUUAUCUGUAUUUUCUUGUACUUCUUCGCCACUAUUUCCAGGUAGAUCUGCUUUGUAAUCAGAUGAUACUGAAGAAAAUGAGGGGAAUCUACUGGCUGAGGGAGGAGUCGAAUCGUAAACAGGUGUUUCGUGGUGGUCGCCCACCAACCCACAAAGAUCAUGAAUUGCUGACUCCUCCCGAGAGAGAAGUGCAGUAAUGAAAGCAGGCUCCUCAUCAUGGUGAUAAACAUCCUCCAUCCCUCUUGCAACAUGAAUAUCUGAUCCUCCAAAAGAAGUACCUGAUUUCUCAUGAAAAUCAACUUCCCGCUCAGAAACCAACAUUGCUUCAUCCUCACUAAUAUGCGCUAUCUCUUCUUCUAUCUCUGAUAAAGACGCAUCACCAUCACUGGAAUCCUCUUCAUCCUGUUUUGUGUUAUCGGGAGUUUCUCCGUCCAUCAUGUUUGAUUGCUCAUGGUGUGUUGCACUUCCCAGUAUUAUCUCAGCCACAUCACGAUGAGGAUUUUUGCUAUCAGCUUGUUCAUCACCAUCGGAAUCUUCUGACGAGUGGCCUUUUUCUUCAUCAUGGUCAGAAGCCAUAUCAGUUUUAGCUAUCUCGGUUUCUCGAUCAGCAUCAUCUUCAUCCACCUUCUUUUCGUCAUCCUCCAGGAUUGUGCAGACAGAUUCAGUAUCAGGUACAGAACUGAGUUUUGAUUCACUAACUUCACUGAGCUGCCUUUCAAACGGAUAAUAGCUCGCUCUCUCGUGUGCUAAUCUUUCCAGCACGAAGAAAGGUCGUAGCCUAUCAUGUCUGGGACCUCCGAGCAUCGAUGGACCUACACUGAAACUCUCAUGUCUUCUGAACACUGGCUCCUUAGGUUGUGGAGAAGAGAACUCUUCCUCGAAACCAUCACCCUUGAGGUCUGGCUUCUCUUCGUUUGGCUCGUACGGAAGAUCAAACGGGUUUCUCCUCGCGAACAUAAUGGACGGAGCAGAGCCAGGGAUAGGUGGUAGUCCCAUACCAUCAUAUGAAAGAUCAAAUGGAUUAUGCCUUGCGGUUGAGAUUGGCGGCAUAUUAAAUGGAACAUCAGCACAGUCGAAAUCAAUGAGAUUUCUCUCUGCCAC